UACGUAGGGGGCAAGCGUUGUCCGGAUUUAUUGGGCGUAAAGAGCGUGUAGGCGGCCAGGUAGGUCCGCUGUGAAAUCUCGAGGCUCAACCUCGAGAUGUCGGUGGAAACUAUCUGGCUAGAGUCCGGAAGAGGAGAGUGGAAUUCCUGGUGUAGCGGUGAAAUGCGCAGAUAUCAGGAAGAACACCCGUGGCGAAGGCGGCUCUCUGGGACGGUACUGACGCUGAGACGCGAAAGCGUGGGGAGCGAACAGG
rnacentral:rRNA from 1 species